UGUGCCUGGCCUGUACCAACACAGUAGAGGAGGCGGGGGAGAGGGCGAGUAAAGAAAAGAGAGAGGGAGAGAAGGAGACAGGGGGGAAGAGAGAAUGAGGGUGGUGGAGGACGGUGGAGGGCCGUCGGAGGCCGGCGUCUCGGGCAGGAGACAGUGAAAGGCUCUGUGGCCAAGAAAUAGGUCAGAGUUUGGCCUCUUUUUUUUAUUCGCAAUUUUUAAGUGAAGUCGGCAAAUCGCUUAUCGACUUGACUUAAAAAUCGCAAAAUUAAAAAGAAGCUGUACCCUUAUUUCGAAUGAAAUAGAGGACCGGUCUAUUUUCCGCACGGAGGAGCGUCAUCCGUACGGCUUGCCAGCCUCCACUGGUUGUAUCACCAUAAUAAUGAAAUAAUCAUGCCUCUUAUCUUUUGGUAUUUGUUGACCCCCUAAUGGAUUUUGAUGAAUACAAAACACUAGAGUAUAAUUCCUUUUAUAUUAACAAUUUAUUUAAGGAUUUCAGGUGUUUAUCUAAGAAUAUUGUUAAGAAUUGUCAAGGCAUGUUUCCAUAUUUUUCAAGGAUUUAUUGAAGAUUUUUUGAGAUAAAGAAAACAGAUCAGGGACAGCCGAGACGUCUCCGGUUUGUCCCAGAGACGUCUUUGGCACGUAGAGGAAGAACUGGCACGUCUGGAGAUGUCCCCGGCACCUGGCGAGGCGUCUCGCAGGGUCGGAGUCGACUCCCGACUCUG
rnacentral:lncRNA from 1 species